UUUCAUUGUUUCAUGGUUCAGAUGGAUGUUAUAGCAAUUUAUUUUAUCUAAGCUUGCUAAUGUAAGUAGCAGACAAACAUUUUGACAUUUCUGAAACCUAAUAAUGUUACCAUUAAGAUCUAAUUUGUAUAUAAUGAAAACAUUUAAUUUAUAAACAUUGAGAACAUUAAGAACUACAGUGAGGGUGAAAAAGUAGUUAAUCCCCUGCUGAUUUUGAACACUUGCCCACUGAUAAAGACAUGAUGUCUAUAAUUUUAAUGGUAGGUGUAUUUUAACAAUGAGAGACCGAAUAACAAAAUAAAAUCCAGAAAAACGCAUGUCAAAAAAGUUAUAAAUUAAUUUGCAUGUCAAUGAGUGAAAUAAUUAUUUGAUUCCCUCUCACUCAGCAAGAUCUCUGGCUCCCAGGUGUCUUUUAACCAGGUAACGAUCUGAGAUUAUGAGCACUCUGUUAAAGUUAGUGCUCCUAAUCUCAGCUCGUUACCUUUAUAAAAGACACCUGUCCGCAUAAGCAAUCAAUCAGAUUCCAAACUUUCCACCAUGGCCAAGACCAAAGAGCUGUCCAAGGAUAUCAGGGACAAGAUUGUAGAGCUAUACAAGGCUGUAAUGGGCUACAAGGCCAUCGCCAAGCAGCUUGGUGAGAAAGUGACAACAGCUGGUGCAAUUAUUCACAAACACAAAAUAACAGGCAGCCUCCCUCGGUCUGGUGCUUCAUGCAAGAUCUCACCUUGAAGAGUUCAAAUAUUUAUGAGAAUGGUGAAGAGCCCAGAACUACACAGGAGGAUCUUGUUAAUGAUCUCAAGGCAGCUGGGACUAUAGUCACUAAGAAAACAAUUGGUAACACAACGCCGUGAAGGACUGAAAUCCAGUAGCGUGUUAUGGCUACCGGCUCCUUUGCCGGAGUGGCUGCACAAAAACUAAGCAGCCAUGCUGACAGAGAUAUUUCUGACUUACCUUGGUCCCGGUGGGCAGAAGCCAGUUCUCCCUCCAUUCCGGUCCUCAGCGGGUGCGACGGUCUUAGGAAUGCCGGCCGCUGCGGUUUGUAUUUUUAUAGGAAAAUUACCUUCGCCCACAUCAAAGAUGGUGCCAACGUGCGUGCGAUGUCACGUCAUAGACACGCAUGCGCGUUUUGGGGUCAGAGACAGCCAAUUACAGCCUGAGGAGGGUUAUUUAAACACCAAUAACCUUUUUGUCAGUGCCCUGUUGUUGUUUCCACUAGCUGGUUAUCCGAGAGUGUGUUCCUGAUUUGCGUUUUUCUGGUAUUUGACUUUGGCUUCGUUUUGACUUCCCUGAUUUCUGGUAUCCUUGACUUCUGGCUUUCCUCAUCAUUGUGUCUCAUUCUGUGUCACGGACCUCGGCAAGUAUUUUGACUAUUCUCACGUUAAGUCCGGUCAUUCUAAGGUCCAAUUAGACAAAAUCCUUAGACCUAGGUGUGAUACUGUUCUGCAUGCUGGAUCAACUAUAAUCCUGACACAGUGCAUGCAAGGUCCUCAUGCUCAAGAAAGCACAUGCACAGGCCCUGUUUGAAGUUUGCCAAUGAACAUCUGAAUGAUUCAGAGGAGAACUGGGUGAAAGUGUUGUGGUCAGAUGAGACCAAAAUCGAGCUCUUUGGCAUCAACUCAACUUGCCGUGUUUGGAGGAGGAGGAAUGCUGCUUAUGACCCCAAGAACACCAUCCCCACCGUCAAACAUGGAAGGUGGAAACAUGUUUUGGGGGUGUUUUUCUGUUAAGGGGACAGGACAACAGCCCUGCAUAAAAGAGACAAUGGAUGGGGCCAUGUAGCGUCAAAUUUUGGGUGAGAACCUCCUUCCAUCAGCCAGGUCAUUAAAAAUGGGUCAUAGAUAGAUAGCUUGAUAAUGUAAUCUAAAGUUAUCACUCUUCAAACUAUGCAGAUAACAUCAGUUACAGGUAGAGAAUUGUAGCGACAAAGUGAUCUAUAAUGCGUACCUAUGUUUAUAUAUAAAAAAAUUUACAUGAACAAUUAUUAGAUCACUUGAGGGGAGAGACAGAUACACUUUUAUAUAAAAGUGCAGGCACUUUUGUAUUAAAGGACCACUAUAGUGCCAGGAAAACAUACUCGUUUUCCUGGCACUAUAGUGCCCUGAGGGCGCCCCCACCCUCAGGGACCCCAUCCCGACGGGCUCUGG